UGUCACCCCAACAGUGGGCUCCUUCUUCCUGAGGAGCCGCCCACUGCCUGACACCUAGAAGCGCGGAUAAUCUGCUACACAAAGCCUCUCAGAUCGGGAAUCACAAAAACUGUAUGUACCCGAGAGCACAAAUCAUUGUGAAGGGAGCUCAUCUCUGUCAGUUGCCCCGGCGGCCCAUUACAAGACCGGCAAAAGGGGAGGCGCAGCGCCAUCUGGUGUCCAUGUAGGGAAGAGCGGAGACCGCUGAGGAAUUGCUACCAAGUAGCUGUGAAAACCAGAAGGGGCUGUCUAGUGUGGCGGAGAAAAUUCCUGUCCUGUUAACAUCUUGAAACCUGUUCAAGAGGAUCAUUGGGGCCUUCACCCAGGUCUGCCUGGGUGUGCUGGGACUAGAAAGAUAAGAAAAUUUACCCAGAAGAGAUCCAAAAUGGCAUACGAUAGUUGCUACUGUAUUGUGAGAACCUCGUCUUGGGCACUUGGAC
rnacentral:lncRNA from 1 species